rnacentral:rRNA from 1 species
GAUCAUGGCUCAGGAUGAACGCUGGCGGCAUGCCUAAGACAUGCAAGUCGAACGAAGAGACCCAACUGAUAUGGAAGCUUGCUUCUGUUGAAGAUGGAUUUUCUCUUAGUGGCGCAAGGGUGAGUAACGCGUGGGUAAUCUACCUAAGAGACUGGAAUAACAAAUGGAAACGUUUGCUAAUACCGGAUUAAAUGUAAGAUGAAAUAAGUCGUAUAUUAAAAGAAGCCUCAAAGCUUCG